rnacentral:lncRNA from 1 species
AGAGUCCCAGGAACCUCCUAAACUGCUGAAGAAGAGGCGCAGGAUAGAGCCUGAGAGUUUAAGUUCCUAUGAAAGCAGAACCUGAAAGGAAGACUUGAGUUAAUUUAAGAGGUGAUCACGGUGAACAGAAGUGAUGGAAUCAGAAGAAUAAAACAGAAAAUCCAAUAAAGUUGGAUUAUGAGCUGGCUACCACUGAGAUUCACUGGGGUUCAGUCCUGCUGAGGAUUCUUUGAGUAAAUUAAUAGAGAAUGCCUUAUAUUGUCUCACCAAAGGACAAUUGAGUUGAUACACUUAUCUACUUCUUCUCAUCCCUCAUUAGUUGAGGGCUGCUGCCAGCUGUGUCAACACCUUCAAAAGUCUGAACUAUUUGUGCAUAAGCUAAAUGGGCUUUUGCAGUGUUGGGAAAAGCCCAGAGUCAGAAGAACAGAAAGACACUGUGGUCUGCAGUUGAGAAGGGAUGCCGGCAUUGCCCAUGAAAUGUGCAUGAAAUGUUGGCAUUGAACUAUGGCUGCACAAAAUCAGGUGGGUCAAGCAAAUUAACACAAUGCAUUACCAGCAUCAUCUUCAAAUUUAUAGUGAAACUUCUCAUUUGAUCUUUCAUAUCUCUUGGCUUCAUUUCUAUAUUUUUCAUUGCUUUUUAGCUCUGAGCCUCAUAUGUGGCAGUUUCCUCAGAUUUCUAUUCUCAUUUGUUGAUUUUCUAUUUAGCUGUGUGUAAAUAGCUCAUCUUUCUCAUAAUAGCAUUUUCUUAUAGUUUCAUCUUUCACAUGUUUAUUUGCUUGCUUUCACAUUGUACCAUUAUCUCAGUAUCUUUGGCAGUAAUCCUGCUAUUCAUUGUGCCUACUGGCUAUCAUGGCAAGAUAUUUUUCUAUGUGUUUUGUG